UACGAAGGGUGCAAACGUUGCUCGGAAUUAUUGGGCGUAAAGCGCACGUAGGCGGCCUUGUAAGUCGGAUGUGAAAUCCCUCGGCUUAACCGAGGACGUGCAUCCGAAACUGUGAGGCUCGAGUAUGGAAGAGGGUCGCAGAAUUCCCGGUGUAGAGGUGAAAUUCGUAGAUAUCGGGAGAAAUACCAGUGGCGAAGGCGGCGACCUGGGCCAAUACUGACGCUGAGGUGCGAAAGCGUGGGGAGCAAACAGG
rnacentral:rRNA from 1 species